rnacentral:rRNA from 1 species
GAUGAGCCAGAAUUGGCACCUUGUCUUUAAAUAAGGUGCAAAAUGAUUUUAACUGAAGAGUUUGAUCAUGGCUCAGAUUGAACGCUGGCGGCAGGCUUAACACAUGCAAGUCGAGCGGAGAGAGGUAGCUUGCUACUGAUCUUAGCGGCGGACGGGUGAGUAAUGCUUAGGAAUCUGCCUAUUAGUGGGGGACAACAUCUCGAAAGGGAUGCUAAUACCGCAUACGUCCUACGGGAGAAAGCAGGGGAUCUUCGGACCUUGCGCUAAUAGAUGAGCCUAAGUCGGAUUAGCUAGUUGGUGGGGUAAAGGCCUACCAAGGCGACGAUCUGUAGCGGGUCUGAGAGGAUGAUCCGCCACACUGGGACUGAGACACGGCCCAGACUCCUACGGGAGGCAGCAGUGGGGAAUAUUGGACAAUGGGGGGAACCCUGAUCCAGCCAUGCCGCGUGUGUGAAGAAGGCCUUAUGGUUGUAAAGCACUUUAAGCGAGGAGGAGGCUACUUUAGAUAAUACCUAGAGAUAGUGGACGUUACUCGCAGAAUAAGCACCGGCUAACUCUGUGCCAGCAGCCGCGGUAAUACAGAGGGUGCAAGCGUUAAUCGGAUUUACUGGGCGUAAAGCGCGCGUAGGCGGCUAAUUAAGUCAAAUGUGAAAUCCCCGAGCUUAACUUGGGAAUUGCAUUCGAUACUGGUUAGCUAGAGUGUGGGAGAGGAUGGUAGAAUUCCAGGUGUAGCGGUGAAAUGCGUAGAGAUCUGGAGGAAUACCGAUGGCGAAGGCAGCCAUCUGGCCUAACACUGACGCUGAGGUGCGAAAGCAUGGGGAGCAAACAGGAUUAGAUACCCUGGUAGUCCAUGCCGUAAACGAUGUCUACUAGCCGUUGGGGCCUUUGAGGCUUUAGUGGCGCAGCUAACGCGAUAAGUAGACCGCCUGGGGAGUACGGUCGCAAGACUAAAACUCAAAUGAAUUGACGGGGGCCCGCACAAGCGGUGGAGCAUGUGGUUUAAUUCGAUGCAACGCGAAGAACCUUACCUGGCCUUGACAUAGUAAGAACUUUCCAGAGAUGGAUUGGUGCCUUCGGGAACUUACAUACAGGUGCUGCAUGGCUGUCGUCAGCUCGUGUCGUGAGAUGUUGGGUUAAGUCCCGCAACGAGCGCAACCCUUUUCCUUAUUUGCCAGCGAGUAAUGUCGGGAACUUUAAGGAUACUGCCAGUGACAAACUGGAGGAAGGCGGGGACGACGUCAAGUCAUCAUGGCCCUUACGGCCAGGGCUACACACGUGCUACAAUGGUCGGUACAAAGGGUUGCUACACAGCGAUGUGAUGCUAAUCUCAAAAAGCCGAUCGUAGUCCGGAUUGGAGUCUGCAACUCGACUCCAUGAAGUCGGAAUCGCUAGUAAUCGCGGAUCAGAAUGCCGCGGUGAAUACGUUCCCGGGCCUUGUACACACCGCCCGUCACACCAUGGGAGUUUGUUGCACCAGAAGUAGCUAGCCUAACUGCAAAGAGGGCGGUUACCACGGUGUGGCCGAUGACUGGGGUGAAGUCGUAACAAGGUAGCCGUAGGGGAACCUGCGGCUGGAUCACCUCCUUAA